GCAUACGGCCAUCGCUUGUAGAAAGCACGGGAUCGCGUCCGCUCUCCCUCAGUUAAGCUACAAGGCGCUAGAUCAGUACUACGCUGGGUGACCACGUGGGAAUUCCUAGUGCUGUAUGUA
rfam:Ceratocystis platani strain CFO contig_00357, whole genome shotgun sequence.